rnacentral:rRNA from 1 species
AGCUCCAAUAGCGUAUAUUAAAGUUGUUGCGGUUAAAAAGCUCGUAGUUGGAUCUCUGCCAAGGACAACUGGUCCGCCCUCUGGGUGAGUACCUGGCUUGGCCUGGGCAUCUUCUUGGAGAACGCAGCUGCACUUGACUGUGUGGUGUGGUAUCCAGGGCCUUUACUUUGAGGAAAUUAGAGUGCUUCAAGCAGGCUUCUGCCUUGAAUACAUUAGCAUGGAAUAAUAAGAUAGGAUCGCAGCUCUAUUUUGUUGGCUUCUAGAGCUGAGGUGAUGAUAAAUAGGGAUAGUUGGGGGCAUUCGCAUUUGACUGUCAGAGGUGAAAUUCUUGGAUUUGUUGAAGACGAUCUGCUGCGAAAGCAUUUGCCAAGGAUGUUUUCAUUGAUCAAGAACGAAAGUA